ACGGAAGGCAGCAGUGGGGGAUAUUGCACAAUGGGGGAAACCCUGAUGCAGCGACGCCGCGUGAGUGAAGAAGUAUUUCGGUAUGUAAAGCUCUUUAAGCUGGAAAGACAAUGACGGUACCAGCAGAAUAAGCCCCGGCUAACUACGUGCCAGCAGCCGCGGUAAUACGUAGGGGGCAAGCGUUAUCCGGAUUUACUGGGUGUAAAGGGAGCGUAGACGGAAGGCCAAGUCUGAUGUGAAAACCCGGGGCUCAACCCCGGGACUGCAUUGGAAACUGGUCAUCUAGAGUGCAGGAGGGGUAAGUGGAAUUCCUAGUGUAGCGGUGAAAUGCGUAGAUAUUAGGAGGAACACCAGUGGCGAAGGCGGCUUACUGGACUGUAACUGACGUUGAGGCUCGAAAGCGUGGGGAGCAAACAGGAUUAGAUACCCUGGUA
rnacentral:rRNA from 1 species